GAUGAACGCUAGCUACAGGCUUAACACAUGCAAGUCGAGGGGCAGCAGGGAUUUAGCUUGCUAAAUUCGCUGGCGACCGGCGCACGGGUGCGUAACGCGUAUCCAACUUUCCCGUUACUCUCGGAUAGCCUUCCGAAAGGGAGAUUAAUACGAGAUGGUGUUCUAAUUCCGCAUGUUAUUAGAACUAAAGAUUCAUCGGUAACGGAUGGGGAUGCGUGACAUUAGAUAGUAGGCGGGGUAACGGCCCACCUAGUCUACGAUGUCUAGGGGUUCUGAGAGGAAGGUCCCCCANACUGGAACUGAGACACGGUCCAGACUCCUACGGGAGGCAGCAGUGAGGAAUAUUGGUCAAAUGGUCGGAAGACUGAACCAGCCAAGUGACGUGAAGGAUGAAAGGUUCUAUGGAUUG
rnacentral:rRNA from 1 species